AGCAGUGGCGCUCUCCUCCAUCCUCCUGUCAUCCACCCCAAUCGUCCCCCCUGCAUCAGCCGAUAUCUCCGGCCUAACCCCGUGCAAAGAAUCCAAGGCCUUCGCCAAACGGGAGAAGCAGUCUGUGAAGAAACUUGAGUCGUCGCUGAAGAAAUACGCUCCGGACUCAGCUCCUACCCUCGCCAUCAACGCCAGCAUCGAGAAGACCAAACGCAGGUUCGACAACUACGGAAAGCAGGGCUUGCUCUGUGGGGCUGAUGGACUCCCGCAUCUUAUU
rnacentral:lncRNA from 1 species